rnacentral:rRNA from 1 species
GAGACCGGCGCACGGGUGCGUAACGCGUAUGCAAUCUACCUUUUACAGAGGGAUAGCCCAGAGAAAUUUGGAUUAAUACCUCAUAGUAUAGCAGUUUGGCAUGAAACCACUAUUAAAGUCACAACGGUAAAAGAUGAGCAUGCGUCCCAUUAGCUAGUUGGUAAGGUAACGGCUUACCAAGGCUACGAUGGGUAGGGGUCCUGAGAGGGAGAUCCCCCACACUGGUACUGAGACACGGACCAGACUCCUACGGGAGGCAGCAGUGAGGAAUAUUGGACAAUGGGCGCAAGCCUGAUCCAGCCAUGCCGCGUGCAGGAUGACGGUCCUAUGGAUUGUAAACUGCUUUUAUACGAGAAGAAACACUCCAACGUGUUGGAGCUUGACGGUAUCGUAAGAAUAAGGAUCGGCUAACUCCGUGCCAGCAGCCGCGGUAAUACGGAGGAUCCAAGCGUUAUCCGGAAUCAUUGGGUUUAAAGGGUCCGUAGGCGGUUUAAUAAGUCAGUGGUGAAAGCCCAUCGCUCAACGGUGGAACGGCCAUUGAUACUGUUAGACUUGAAUUAUUAGGAAGUAACUAGAAUAUGUAGUGUAGCGGUGAAAUGCUUAGAGAUUACAUGGAAUACCAAUUGCGAAGGCAGGUUACUACUAAUGGAUUGACGUUGAUGGACGAAAGCGUGGGUAGCGAACAGGAUUAGAUACCCUGGUAGUCCACGCCGUAAACGAUGGAUACUAGCUGUUGGAAGCAAUUUCAGUGGCUAAGCGAAAGUGAUAAGUAUCCCACCUGGGGAGUACGUUCGCAAGAAUGAAACUCAAAGGAAUUGACGGGGGCCCGCACAAGCGGUGGAGCAUGUGGUUUAAUUCGAUGAUACGCGAGGAACCUUACCAAGGCUUAAAUGUAGAUUGACCGGUUUGGAAACAGAUCUUUCGCAAGACAAUUUACAAGGUGCUGCAUGGUUGUCGUCAGCUCGUGCCGUGAGGUGUCAGGUUAAGUCCUAUAACGAGCGCAACCCCUGUUGUUAGUUGCCAGCGAGUCAAGUCGGGAACUCUAACAAGACUGCCAGUGCAAACUGUGAGGAAGGUGGGGAUGACGUCAAAUCAUCACGGCCCUUACGCCUUGGGCUACACACGUGCUACAAUGGCCGGUACAGAGAGCAGCCACUGGGCGACCAGGAGCGA